AGGUUACUGCUAUCGAGGUUCGACUAAGCCAUGCGAGUCGAAUGUAGCAAUACAUGGCGUACUGCUCAGUAACACGUGGACAACCUACCCCCCGGACGGGUAUAAACCCGGGAAACUGGGUAUAAUCCCCGAUAGAUCUCGGUCGCUGGAAAGCCCCGAGAUCGAAAGCUCCGGCGCCAGAGGAUGGGUCUGCGGCCUAUCAGGUAGUAGUGGGUGUAGCGUACCUACUAGCCUACGACGGGUACGGGUUGUGAGAGCAAGAGCCCGGAGAUGGAUUCUGAGACACGAAUCCAGGCCCUACGGGGUGCAGCAGGCGCGAAAACUUUACAAUGCCGGCAACGGCGAUAAGGGGACCUCGAGUGCCAGGUUACAAAUCUGGCUGUCGUGAUGCCUAAAAAGCAUUGCAUAGCAAGGGCCGGGCAAGACCGGUGCCAGCCGCCGCGGUAACACCGGCGGCUCGAGUGGUAACCGUUAUUAUUGGGUCUAAAGGGUCUGUAGCCGGCCGGAUAAGUCUCUUGAGAAAUCCAGCAGCUCAACUGUUGGGCUUUCAGGAGAUACUGUCUGGCUCGAGGCCGGGAGAGGUGAGAGGUACUUCAGGGGUAGGGGUGAAAUCUUGUAAUCCUUGAAGGACCACCAGUGGCGAAGGCGUCUCACCAGAACGGACCUGACGGCAAGGGACGAAAGCUAGGGGCACGAACCGGAUUAGAUACCCGGGUAGUCCUAGCCGUAAACGAUACUCGCUAGGUGUCGGCCACGGUGCGACCGUUGUCGGUGCCGUAGGGAAGCCGUGAAGCGAGCCACCUGGGAAGUACGGCCGCAAGGCUGAAACUUAAAGGAAUUGGCGGGGG
rnacentral:rRNA from 1 species